GGAGAGGUGACCGAGUGGCCGAAGGUACCCGCUUGCUAAGCGGGCGUACGCUCAAAAGGUGUACCGCGGGUUCGAAUCCCGCCCUCUCCGCCA
rnacentral:tRNA from 1 species